rnacentral:rRNA from 1 species
AGCUCCAAUAGCGUAUAUUAAAGUUGUUGUGGUUAAAAAGCUCGUAGUUGGAUCUCAACAGACUUGGAUCGGUUUACUUUGUGUAAUACUGAUCCAAAGCUGUGCUUUUGUCGGAGGUUUAGGGGUGCUCUUAACCGAGUGUCUCUGAGUGCCGACAGGUUUACUUUGAAAAAAUUAGAGUGCUUCAAGCAGGCUGUUAUGCCAGAAUAUUUGUGCAUGGAAUAAUAGAAUAGGAUGUUGAUCUUAUUUUGUUGGUUUUCGAGACUUGACAUAAUGAUUAAUAGGGACAGUCGGGGGCAUUGGUAUGGCGGGGUUAGAGGUGAAAUUCUUGGAUCCUCGCCAGACCAACAAAAGCGAAAGCAUUUGCCAAGAAUGUCUUCA